GGCCGCAGGGUUCGCCCCUCCGCCGCCACGAGAUGCCCCCAGCCUGUGCGCUGGCCGCCACUCCCCGCUCCAUCAGGUGCCGGAAUCCGAGUAAAAGCCUGGGCGCGAGCUCCUAGCCCCAGGGCCCGCCACGCGCCCCACGAAGCCGGCAGCUCCAGUGGCCGCCGGGAGAAGGAAGGGCGGCCGGGGGAAGACAGGUCGCAGAGACAACACCUGGCGGAAAGUUAGCCCCGGACUAGCACGCCCCACCCGGAGAAGCCAGCCUGGAAGGGGCUGCGGGCCACCAGGCGGAGCGGUGGGCAACCGAAGUGCGGCUGGGCGGGACUCCACGUCUCCGCACUGGAAGAAUUGCCCCUCCGCAAGUCUUCCCUUCCCACGUGGGGGCCUUCCAGGUCGCACUCGGUCGCCCACCGCUCCCCCUGAGAAGGGAGACUAAAAGACAGGCAUCUGGAAGCUGUCACUGUGGCGCGCGGGCGGACAGGGGAUUCCACUGGAGAGGAAGAGGCCGUAGUAGUCGCUGCUGCCUGAGGCCGACCCAACCGCCGCCUGCUUGGGAGGAAGAAAAAAAACGCCCCCGCUGAAGAAUUAAGGCAGCCAUUGGUUGCUCUAGAGCGUAGGGACCGAGGCCUCCCCUGGGUGUCACUGGAGCGGUCACACGUGGGGGAUCAGCCGACUUCGAUCGCUGGCGACAGACCCAGCGACCCGGAGGCGUGCGCGCUGGGGCUGCGGCUGGAGGGCGCGGCGACGGCACCAGGCGGGUGGCUCGAGUGGGUGCGACUGUAGGCGCGUGGGACUGGGAACUCCUCCGGCGUGGGGAAGAUUUUUUUUUCCCAGCAGAUGUUGGAGUGUUAUUGCCUGUCUAAGGGGCCGGCAGAAUGGCCAGGUCCCAGUGCGUGUGGGGCAGCGAGGUGUGUCAGAUAAGCUGUGGAUCCCCUCGGCCCCUCGUGGGCCGGAGAGGGGGCCCACGACAAUAAGGCGAUUGAGGACAGCGACGGACAGGGCGGGGAACCAGUUGGGUGGAAGCACAGGCAAAGUGUGGUGAGGAGGGAAGGGCUAUGAUCGGCCCUCGGGACGACGCCCCCAGGGGACAGCCUGGCCUCCUGAAUUAGGGAAAAGACAACCCGCCUCUUUAGACUGGGGCGCCUCAGAGUCUGACCUGAGUCUUCAAACACCCAGAUUCCCGGGGGCCUUGCCUCGAGUGGGCCUCAAGACUCGCGACGCCCCCGCAGCCUUGGGCUGAGGGUCAGUAGUCUCCGGGAGCGGGUCUGGCUGCCGCGGAACUGAUACUGGUUUGCGCCGGUAGGUAGGCGAGGGGCGCGGUCACCCCGUCUGAAUUCCACUGGCAGGACAGCUGUGGAACCGCCAGAGAAAAGUCCGGCGGUGUAAGAAAGGAGGAUAAGACAGCAGCAGCACUGCCCAUGGACCAGAGGCCUCCUGUAAAGCCUGGGAAAAGAGGGCCCCCCACACCGCCAACCGGAUGUAAGGGCAAUUGCAAAGGAACUGUGUGUUAUCUUCACCAGAACAGACUGUAGAAUUUGUUUAUUAAAUUUUUAUUUUGUACUUAUUUAUUUUGUGAAUGUAUAUGCUGUAAGCUCAUCUGCUUAGAUUACAAGAAUGUCAAUGCCCUACCUUGGUGGGUAGGUUAGUUUAUUCUAAUGAGCACAACUUAACGUUACAUAUUCCAACAUCUCAUUUGGGAUGUGAGGAUGCUAUGGGCGGGGGAUGGAUAUUCUGGCAUUGCUAGAAUAUAGGAGCCUUAACGAGAGAGUGGCAGAGUGGGGAGAACCUGGCACUUAAGCUGCAGAUGAUCACUUAUUAGCUUUGUUAUAUUAAAUAAGUUAAACUUUCUUCAUCUCAUUUUUUUUUCUAUUGUAAAAUAGGGUAGUAACAGUGAGUCCUGGUAGAGGACAUGUUCUGUUAGCCAGAUCCACCCUCCAACCUGCUGUCUGUCCUUUGGAGCCUUAACUCAAUGGACUUUCUUUCCCUCUACCUUCCUCUUGAGUUAAGGCACUGGGAAGCAAGAGCAAUGGAACAAAGAGGAAGGAGCACGGUUAUUUAUUCCUCCCUGGCUCCCUUGCUAUGGCACCAUGGCAGGCUGGCUGAAUCCCUCAACCAAAGGAAGCAACCAGUAUCCCUCCCUAGGGUGACCCAGAGUAAACUCCAAUGGUUUCCCUUCAUUUUGCACACACCUUUGCAAAUAGUCUUUUUAUAAAACUCUACUCACAUUAUCCAGUAGGAAUGUAGUAUCUCAUUCCUUUACGGAAUUUUUUGAGAGUUAACUGAGAAAAUACUGUAUUAUUAGUGUUAGAAUUACCUAUAAUUUCCAUCCAAACUGAGAAACUUCUGAGACUGGAAAAAGGGGGUUUGUGCUGAUAGUAAUGAUCCCAGGACAAUAGGAAAAACAAGGACUUAUGGCGACCCCAGCUAUUAUUGUUGGUAAACUCUGCUUUAGACAUGUUAAGCAAUCAAGAAGUGGUCAUACUAUCAUGCUUCUGUCACUAGAUUAUGAAUGUCUCAAGGUAAGAGUGCUUUUUUAUCUAUUAGCUUCUGUCACAUGGUCUGAUACAUUCAAUAAAUUUUGAGUUGGAGAUGAGGGUAAA